CCGUAUGGGCUUUCGUCGUUUGUUGCAUGAUGGGCUGUGAGUUUGGUUCAUCUGAAACGACAGCGCCGCGUGAUGUCUGAACUCCCUUCCUCCAUCUGAAACUACCCGAUCUGUGUAUUCUUAUCGCCAAGUAUUUCUUAUUUGUCUGUUAUGAAUCUCAUAAAACUUUCCCUUCAUCUCUACAAUCAGUGAGCUCGAUGUGGUUUAUGACUACGGGACAAGCUAUUGACGGGAACAAGAGGAUGAAUCAGACUUUUGGGUUUGUUGGAGUCUGAUCGACGAUGUGUUAGAUCGAAUAAAUGAUAUUAUUUCCUCCAUGGAUGUGUCUGAUGAACCCAAGCCGUGUCCUUUUGUUCGGGAAGGCACCCAAAGUCUCGACUAUCCCUUGAAAGUUUGUGUGUUCUCAGGAAAUGCUCCAGAUGAUGAUAUAGACAUGUGAAACCAGUCAAAGGCUUCUCAGUUGGAUUGAAACCACCAUGGAUACGCAUCUCUCUGAUCUGAUGGGUCCAUGGGAAAACAUCUCUGGCUAUGCAAUGGAUCCCAAAGAUUCUAUUCCGCCUUUUAGUAAGCUCACCUGCCUUAAGAAAUCCCAAGUAUCUCUUAAACUUUUCUUCAGCAUGUGAUGAUAAGAGAACUCUUAUUCCCAAUGUUCUUGGUAAAUAAAACUCCUAACCCUUCCUGUUCAGAUCACAUCUUCCCUUUGAUGCCUUCCUGGAUGCAGCUUAUGAUUAUCAAAGUGUUUCCAUAGGCUUUAUCUAGAUGAAUCUGAUUUAAGAGUUCUCCUAAUCCCUGGAUACUUCUAUAAUCCUAAUGCUCACUUGGAAGUUUUAGUUUUGUACAGGUAAAAAGAGUUCUUCACAUUGUGGAGUUUUGUGGUAAAAGUCAACAGGGCAUUUAAGUUGGAUGUAGGACCUGAAUGGAGAGAAGGAAAAUAAAAGAUUCUCUUUAAUGGCUGGACCGGUAAUGCCCUGUUGUGAGAACUUUGAUUCAUCUAUCUGAAUUGAAGGCGGGACAGUGCAGGCAGAGUGUUGAGGCAAGGCUUUUGCGUUUCUGGGAAUCCUGAAAUGUUAAGAAAGGUGGUGAGCUCAUGGGCUUUGAUAUGCUUUUGGUUGACCUUAUUAUCUUAACUGCGUCGUUAAUGCAACCAUCCAUCAACGCCUUAACACCUUCAAAAACCUCGAUUCAAACGAAGCUGAGAACUUGACUAUAACAUUAGCAUCAAUUGUGAUUUACAAACAAAGUAUGGUUUUCGGAUUAUGGAGAAUUGGCUUUUGGUACCCAAAGUUUUCUACUUUGUUAAUAAUACAGAAUGAAAGCUUAUGGAUUGUACUUUUUGACUUGCAAGAGGUCAAAGUUGGUGUCGGAACUGAGUAACCGAUUGUUUGUGUGGGAGUAGGAAGUCGUUAGUUAGUGUGAGACUCUGGUAUUGAAGGUUUGAUCUUGCGGUGUUGCUUAUGGUUGCAGCUUCUGCUUAUUUACAUUGUGGCAAAAAAUGACGUUUUAUGAUGAACAUAUGACCAUUUAGUUCUGUCUA